GAUUAACGCUGGCGGCGUGCCUAACACAUGCAAGUCGAACGAGGUAGCAAUACCUAGUGGCAGACGGGUGAGUAACGCGUGGUCAACCUACCGUUGAGUGGGGGAGUAACUAGCCGAAAGGUUAAGCUAAUACCGCAUACGUCUCCGAGUGGCAUCACUUGGCGAUAAAAGGAAGCAAUCCGCUCGAUGACGGGACCGCGUCCCAUUAGCUAGAUGGUGGGGUAACGGCCUACCAUGGCACCGAUGGGUAGCUGGUUUGAGAGAGCGACCAGCCACACUGGGACUGAGAAACGGCCCAGACUCCUACGGGAGGCAGCAGUGAGGAAUUUUCCGCAAUGGCGCAAGCCUGACGGAGCGACGCCGCGUGU
rnacentral:rRNA from 1 species